rnacentral:rRNA from 1 species
AUUGAACGCUGGCGGAAUGCUUUACACAUGCAAGUCGAACGGCAGCACGGGGGCAACCCUGGUGGCGAGUGGCGGACGGGUGAGUAAUACAUCGGAACGUGCCCGGUCGUGGGGGAUAACGUAGCGAAAGUUACGCUAAUACCGCAUACGAUCUGAGGAUGAAAGCGGGGGACCUUCGGGCCUCGCGCGAUCGGAGCGGCCGAUGUCAGAUUAGGUAGUUGGUGGGGUAAAGGCCUACCAAGCCGACGAUCUGUAGCUGGUCUGAGAGGACGACCAGCCACACUGGGGCUGAGACACGGCCCAGACUCCUACGGGAGGCAGCAGUGGGGAAUUUUGGACAAUGGGCGCAAGCCUGAUCCAGCCAUUCCGCGUGCAGGACGAAGGCCUUCGGGUUGUAAACUGCUUUUGUAUGGAACGAAAAGGCUCUGGCUAAUACCUGGGGCUCGUGACGGUACCGUAAGAAUAAGCACCGGCUAACUACGU